rnacentral:rRNA from 1 species
GACGAACGCUGGCGGCGUGCUUAACACAUGCAAGUCGAACGGAAAGGCGCUGCUUGCAGGGUCCUCGAGUGGCGAACGGGUGAGUAACACGUGGGUGCUCUGCCCUGCACUUCGGGAUAAGCCUGGGAAACGGGGUCUAAUACCCGAUAGGCGCCAUUGUGAGUGUGAUGGUUGGAAAGUUUUUUCGGUGUAGGAUGAGCUCGCGGCCUAUCAGCUUGUUGGUGGGGUAAUGGCCUACCAAGGCGGCGACGGGUAGCCGGCCUGAGAGGGUGGACGGCCACCUUGGGUCUGAGGUACGGCCCAGGCGCCGACUGGUGGCAGCAGUGGGGAAUCUUGCACAAGGGGUGCCAGCCUGAUGCAGCGACGCCGCGUGGUGGAUGACGGUCUUGGGGUUGUAAACUCCUUUCGCUAGGGACGAAGCUUUUUGUGACGGUACCUAGAUAAGAAGCACCGGCUAACUACGUG